AGGGGUAUAGCUAAGCUGGGUGUGCGACGGUCUCCAAAACCGUAGGUCGAGGGUUCGAAACCUUCUGCCCCUG
rnacentral:tRNA from 1 species